UCACUAUUUUUUCUCCGUCUUUCCCAGCAGAAAUCGGAUUUCCCGGUCUGUCCUCUUUGCUGAUCAUGACAACAUUCCAUUGAGUCCCUGUGCUCUAGGCUUUCAUCAUCGACACCCAGGAACAAAGAGAAGGAGAGCCAACGUCAGGCUAUCUCUGAGAUUUCUCCCCCUGCCAAAAGACAGAGGCAAAAUUCACCAACGCAAAUGAACGACUUUGGGAAGUCUUCCUAGCUCGGUUCAGAUGCAACUUUGCUGAAGUGUUUCUAAAGGGGGGAAGAGGGGGAACAGUAUGUCACUCGUGAAAACUGUUUAGGACAGCUGUUGGAAGAGGAAGCAGGUGGUGAAAUCACCCUGAGGGUCUAAGAAAUAUUAAUAUUUAAACCUCUCCCAUUUCACUAAAGUUCAAUAGAGCUUUCUACUGCCUGAAGGAAGAGGGAGCCAGGGAAAUCACAAGCCAUGAAGUGGGAAAGACCUUCUAAUUUGGUUAGAGAGGGGUUUGUUUGUCUGAGUCCCCUUCUCGACAGCCCUCAUUUGCUCUUUGCUCACAAAGGGUCUGUGUUAGCAUUUCAAAGCUGACUCCUUCUUCCUAUUGCAUCUCAGAGACAUAACAUGUCAUCAGAUCACAGGGAUUUGCCAGGUCUGUGAUUUGUUUGUCUAGACUUUGGUCAUUGAACUAUGUUUAUUACAAAACAUCAUGUGAAACAGGCAAGAAAUCAAAGCGGUUUCUGGGGCUUCUUCCCUUGCCUUGGCCGCUGAUGGCUCUACAAAUGGGUUGCCCUACAGAGAUUGCGAAGCUAACUUUCAUCUUUCGAGUUCCUGCACAUUCUUUGAAAGUCUACCUUUCCCAUGACCCAGGCUCUGAACACUGGACUAAUCCUCUCCUUGCCUUUGACCCAGGGCAUGAUCUCUAGUCUGUCAUAAACCUCAAAAUCUCGUGCUCUCGGCUUCUUCAAGUGGACAGAAUAAUAGCUAUGUACUGAGCAGAUAUCAAAAGCAAUCAGGAGUGAUUGAUAAUUGGCACCAUAAGGCACCAUGAAAGCUUUCAACAUCAAAGCAAAAACCGCCUAUCACGCAACUAUACUAUCUUCCAAGGGCACUUAAAUACCAACCAUUCCUUCCACCUGAGAGUGCAACUUUGAAAAGAGCCCUCCCUGUUUCGUUUUUGAAAACUGCAUUAGAACAGAUCAAGGAAAAAAAAUCAAGGGAACCAAGAAGGUCAGUUGGUAGAGUGAAGGGAGAGAGUAUUCCAGGGAUUGAGGACAGCCACAGAAAAUGCUCAGAGUUGAGUGAUAAAGCAUCUUGUUUGUGGAACAGCCAAGAGAGCCAGUGGCACUAGAUGGAAGAAUAUGUACUGGGAACAAGGUGUAAGAAGACUGAAAGAUGCUACGGAGAGUGGCCAGAAGGAAUAAUGACUCUAUUAUCUGUACACAAGAACUACAUUUACCCAGAUAUACCAGGAAGACUCCUCCAGGGUAAGAUCUUGGAGCCUUCAUCUUCUUUUAUACCUUCCCACCACCAGCCCCAGGAGGCCUCGCUGUGGGACAACCGUAGGUACCAAAUACCUUUCUCUUGAACCGAAUUCACGUGAGCUUUAGAAUAUCCACAUCAGAACAAGAGCAAAUAUUCAUGGCCAUCUCAGUCCCCCUGUAACCUUAUUUCCUUUGAAGCCGGUAGGGGACAGACAUCAGAUGGAAGCAGAAAGAAGGGUUCUUUCAUUUUUGUUCUUUGACCUCGAUCUCUUUAUCUUCAGGGGAAAUGGAUGGAUUAAAUCCUCCCAGAAAGUACUAGAUGAUAAUUUAACUCUGUAGGCUCACUGAGGCAGGGACAUUGUACCCUGGAGUCCAUGAAUCUCAUUUCUAAAAAUUUGUUUUUUUAACAGUAUUUCAACAUAAUUUUUUUCCCUUUGUAAUUGUAUGUAUUUUAUUUUGUGCAUUUAAAGACAUUAUUUUGAGAAUGUUGGUUAAUAGGCUUCACCAGACUGAUUUCCAAAGGGGAUCGUGACACAUAAAAAUGGUUAAGAAGCCUUAAACAAUGGGAACUGACUCUCUGGUACUUCUUUAAACACAAAGGGCCAUAAUCAUUUUUUUAUUUUCAGAAAAUGUCCUCCCACUAUUACCAAGAGUCAUUUAAAAACACAUUUAUAAGACUAUCUUCCUCCAAGCUACCAAAAGGGAAAAAAAAAUCUCCAAUAACAGAAUGCCCUAAGAAAUAAAUUGCCUGCUUUUAGCCUGACGUGGUAACUGGCCUACUGAAGUCAUUGAAGUUGCACAUCUGGCUGCCCAUGUUCUCUUUGAAACAGAGAAAGCCAGUUUUUGAUUCAGAGAAUAGAAUCCUAUUCCUUUUCAGCCUAAUAAAGGACAUGGACAUGCUGUUCUCGAACAACCAGGAAAAAGGAAAAGAGGCUCUGAGCCUACUCAGGGUUUCAGAGGUUCAGGUCAAUUUUUUUAAAAACCUUACCUUCUGCCUUAGAAUCAAGUCUGUGUAUUUGUUCUAAGGCAGAGUGGUAAGGGCUAGGCAAUGGGGGUAAAGUGACUUGCCCAGGGUCACACAGUUAGGAAAUGUCUGACGUCAGAAUUGAAUCCAGGACCUCCUGUCUCUAGGCCUGUCAAACCCAUUUUUAAAAGGCACCCUGAUCAAGAAGUAGUUGGCCAAAUUGGGAAGAAAUUUUCAUAACAAAAAACUCUGACAAAGGUCUAAUUGCUCAAAUUUAUAAAAACCUAAACCAAUUGUACAAAAAAUCAAGCCAUUCCUCAAUUGAUAAAUGGGCAAGGGACAUGAACAGGCAAUUUUCAGUUAAAGAAAUGUGAUCUUGAGCAAGUCACUUAAUUCCCAUUGCCUAGCUCUUACUACUCUUCUGUCUUGGAACUAAUACUUAAUGUUAAUUCUAAGAUAGGAGGUAAAGGGAUUUUUUUUUAAAAGAAAAAGAAAUAAAGAUGUAAUUUUUAUCCCACACCAAGUUUAUGGGCCAUGGAUUCCAAAUUAAAAACCUCUGCUCUAAAUGAAUCAAAUAAAAAGAAGCAGCACAGGUCUACAGAAUCUAGAUUUAAGAGAAUUCUGUAUUGAAACCAAGUGAAUGAUUGCUUUCUAAUUUAUCUUUUUUGAAGGGAGAAGAGGAGUAAUAAUAUAAAUUUUCCAAAGUCCCAUAACUAAGGUAAAUCUAGAUCAAUCUGUUGUCCUUUGCCUUCACAUACCAGCGAGAAAAUAAAUAUGAUGGCACAAAGACAGAGAGAUCUGACACCAAAAAUUCAUCUGGACUUUAUCAUUCAAAGAAAGAUCACUCAGAGAACAGCAAUGCUACUCAAAGAUAUCCUGAAAGAACAAGCUGUUGCUUUUUUUUUCUAUCCCUUAGUGAAAGUAGCAAUAAAAGUAUUGAAGGGAUAAGAUGAAGGGCAGGCAGGAAGGAAGUAUUGCCGGUUUUUUAUUUCUUAUUCACCAUCUGCAGCCCAAAAAGAAAGAGCUUCUGCCCACCUGUGCCUGUACCAACCUCCUUAGAUAAAUAGAUCAGUCUUCCAAUAGAUUACUCAUGACAUCUGUUUUCCCCUCCUUUCAGAAGCCCCCUGAAAAAUCUAUCUGGAUGAAUGUGUCAGUGACCCCUUCCCUGCAUCAGUCCCCUCAGGUCACUGGGGCUAUUGGUGACUGGGACUGACUGAUGGGCUCCUUGUUUCCAGAGCAGACACCUCCUGCUCAGUAUGCCCCAGGAUCCUGCUUUGGGGGGCACAGUGCCCUACGGACUAUAUCCAUUCUGUAGAUGCAAUAGGCUCCCCUCCCAUGUAUUGUUGCCUUCAUUGGUCUCCACUGUGGUAGAAGCUGUGGAAUAAACAUCUGCAGAUGUCUAGAAGCAAAGUAUAGUUCUCAGUUCCCAAAGAAAGUCAAUCCCUUCUUUAAGCUUUAAAGAGAAAUCUAUGCAAAACAAUAGAGGAGGAAUGCACAUCAACUAGUCCCACUCCAGCAAUAAGAUCAUAGAAUCUGAGAUUUAAAGCUGGAAUAAACCUUGGAGGCUAACCCCUUCCUUUUACAGAAAAGACAACUUAGGCUCAGAGAGAUUAAGUGACUAAUCCAGAGUCAUGCCAAUAGUUAAUAUCAGAGAUAGGAUUUGAACUUCUUGGUUCUAAGUCUAGUACUCUAUCAAUUAUGCCAUGCUGCUUCAUAGAGCAUUGGUUGGAUGGUGGUGGUUGUCCAUCAUACCCAAAGAGGACCAAAAUGACAUCACCUGUAAUAUCUUGACUUGCACAUGAAUUGGAUUUAAGUGAGGUGGAGUUGCACAAAGUCAUCAGCCUCACUCCCUCUUCCAGAGUCAUCAAAGUCCAAAGGCAAAACAAAAGUCAAGACAGCUAGUGAUGGCCUGGGAUGCAAUGGAUGGCCGUGGCCUUUUCAAUGUCUAAGUAAGCUCUAAGAGCUCCAUAGAGCCUGCUUCCUCCACCUUCAUGGCCAUUGAAAUAAUUGUUCAGAUCUACCCUUUCCCUGGAAGAAGCCUUCAAAUGCUUGAGUAGACACCCCUCUAACUCACCAAUAGGUCCGAGAAUUGAUAAACUAUUAGAGGUGAAAGAAAUUAAAGCUCAACUAAUCCAACCAAGAGUAGUCAUGUUGACCUAUUUCGUGAACUAGAAUCCUGCUAUUAUAAUUUUAAAAGCUUUACUAAUAUUAUUUCAUUUGAUCUUCACAAUCCUGUGAGGUAGAUGCUAUUAUUAUAAAUAUUCCCACUUUGUAUCUACUGCCCUGCCUGGUUCAAUUCCACAAAACAAGAUGCUUCCUCCCUACGCACCCCAACUGUCUCAUUCCCCGCUACUUUCCUGUCUCCUGUGUACUGUCUCCCCCAUUAGAUUAGUUCUUGAAGGCAGGACUACCUUUUUAUUAACUGUAUCCCCAGUGCUUAGCACAGUGAUGGGCACAUGGUAGGUGCUUAAUAAAUGGUUAUUGAAUUGGAUUGGAUUCUGAAAGCACUGACAAUGAUGCCUCAGCUGCAGUGCUACCCUGGACCAUCCAUCUGCCCUCCCAGUUUUCUUCUCCCAUUGGUAAAUAUUUCCUGGAGCUUCCAUUUUGGGGCAAGCCCCAGAUUGGCCAGCCUUUAUUCCCCUCAUCCUGGGCUGCUGACUUUUGGGACUUCAAAAUUAGGCUUCCAGGUUUAUCUAUAUUUGCCCUUUCUUCCUCCUACCUUUUCAGUUCCCUUUUGUGCAUUAUCUUGUCCCAUUAGAAUGUAAGAUCCUCAAGGACAAGAAUUGUUUUUCUUUUUGCUUGUACUGUAUUUGUACUCUGGCAUAUAAUAAGCUCUUAGUAAGUCUUUUGCCUUGACUGACCAUGUUAAAUGUAUUUCUAAUUUGGGAAGGAAGGCAAUUUGGGGGGAGGGGGAUAGGUUUUGGUUUUUGAGAUUUUUUUUUUAAGAAGAAGGGUUUUUACAUGGUGGACGUGUCAUUCAAAGCUAACCUCAGCUAAGAACAUAAUCUCUAAAAUCAUUACCUUAUAUUUUCUAGAAGUUUUUUAGAAUUCCCUGAUGUCUCUUUUUUCGUACUCAAAUAAAACUUUACAAUGAAUGAAAUUCAAAGAUUUACAGUGGUCUUCAGUGCCAAAAAAAUUGAAGUAGUCCUUGACCUUUCUCUGGUAGCCCAAAGACAAACUGGGCUGGGGGGUUUCACAUGAAAUUUUCAAGAAGCCUUUCCCUUAGCAGUGCUGAGAGUCCUCCAAGAGUAGCCCAUCUCCUAGCGCUGUGCCAUUUCCCCUUCCAAGGCCUGGCAGGAACCCAGCAGUGUAAAUAAAGGAUGCGUAUAUUUUUAAAGGAAAGCCUUCUUUUGAGUGUGCGACCAGAAGAAAAUGUGGAGUUCAGGUCUGCAGAAAGGCCCUGGGGACUCCUGUUCUAGUCAAGCUGGGUGGAUCCUGUCUGCCUCUCAACCAUCACAUCCAAACACAAAUACCGCAAUAGCAGGCAGCUAGAGCUGGCAGGUUCCUUCCUCUUGUUGAGUGGUAAAAGCUGGGACCUAUGCAGUUGUAUCUUCUACAAAAAUCAUUUCUUUUGAAGAAGAAGAUCUAAUAUUGAGAGAGUGUAAGGCUCUAGAUAGGAGGAGGAGGGAGGGGAGAAGAACAUCUUGAGACAAGGGGAUUAUGAAAUAUUCUCAGGCCAUCUAGGAAUAUAUACUUUGUGUUAGACAGCAUCAUACUCAUUGUCACAAUUACUUGUGUGUGUGUGUGUGUGUCUCAAAUCUAUGUAGCUCACUCCCCAAAAUACACAUCCCAACCUUACUCUGAGACAUUAAGCAAACCUGGGAAAUUCUCAGGGCUGGUUUUCUAAAACAGGCUCUUCUUUAUUGUGUAGAGAUAUUUUGCUGAAGGUGUUAUUUCUUAACUCUAACAGGUUCCCAUUCCUUUGGGUAUCUAAGCCAAAAAGAUAAAGCUUUCAGUAAAAUACAAAGGCAAGGAUUUGCUCAUGUGUUCCCUUUGGGAGGGAGCCACAGGGAAGGUGGAAAAGAGAAUCCCAAGAAGAAUGAUAAUGCAAGAGCUCCAAGGAGUGGAAUGUGAGUCUUCCAUUCAUACCAAAAUUAGUUCAUCUUUUCAAAGAAAAUUCAGAGUAAUAAAAUAUAACUUGAUGAGAAGCCUGCCAAUGUUUCUAGUAUUUCAAACAAACAAAUUUUCAACUUUCCUAAUUGUACUUACAGGAACACACACACACAUACAUAUAUAUUUGUUUAUUUAUUUAUUCAUAUUUUGGAAUUCCAAUAUGUAUACAUAUAUAGGAAAGCUACCUGGAAGAGUGCAAAAAGAACUUGGGUUCAAAUCCUACCUGCUCUCCCCUUAGUGGCUCACUGUAGGAGUAAGUGGUAUUACCUUUCUGAGCAUCACCAUCUUCAUCUGUAAAAUGAAAGUCUUGACGUCAUGAUCUCUCCAUUUCCCUCCAGCUCUCAGUCACUGACCCUAUGCAUUUUUCAUAAGGUUGAAGCGUACCUCUUUAAGUGCCUAUUUGAAACCGCACACAUACGCACACCUUUCUAAAAUUCCCAAGCCUGUUCUCUUAGAUACAUUAUACUCAAGGUGAAAUGAAAAGAUUUCUAAUGCUUGAGGUCAGGAGACUGGUGUUCCAGCCUUGUCUCUGCCACUUUUCUUAUCAUCUUAGGCAAUUCACUUAACCUAGACCUUGGUUCUUUCGUCUGUAAAAUGAAGAAAUUAGACGAGAUGGUCUCUAAAGUCUCUUUCCAUGCUGCAAUACUGUGAUUUUCAUUUUAUUUUUCCUAGAUGGUUCAGCAUCAUGACACAAGGAUACAAGCAUUUAAGUAUCUACUAUGUACCUUACACAGUGUUAAGCACUUUACAAAUAUCUUAUUUUUCCUGUGAGUCUUCCUAGCUGUGUGAUCCUGGGCAAAUCACUUAACCUCUAUUGGCUCCCCUUUGCUGCUUUUCUGUCUUAGAACUGACCCUAAGACAGAAUAUGAUGGUUUAAAAUAAAAUCUUUUAUUCCCCAAUAAACUUGAGGGGUAGGUGCUAUUAUCGUCUCCAUAUUAUUAUGUCCAUUUUACAGAUGAGAAAACUGAAGCAAAGAGAAGACAAGUGACUUGCCCAGGGCCAUAUAGCUGAAAAAUUUCUGAGACCAAAUUUAAAUCCAGGUCUUUCCAGGUUCAGUACUCUAACCAUUACACCUCCCAG